GACGAACGCUGGCGGCGUGCUUAACACAUGCAAGUCGAACGGAAAGGCCCUGCUUUUGUGGGGUGCUCGAGUGGCGAACGGGUGAGUAACACGUGAGUAACCUGCCCUUGACUUUGGGAUAACUUCAGGAAACUGGGGCUAAUACCGGAUAGGAGCUCCUGCUGCAGGGUGGGGGGUGGAAAGUUUCGGCGGUUGGGGAUGGACUCGCGGCUUAUCAGCUUGUUGGUGGGGUAGUGGCUUACCAAGGCUUUGACGGGUAGCCGGCCUGAGAGGGUGACCGGCCACCUUGGGACUGCGAUACGGCCCAGACUCCUACGGGAGGCAGCAGUGGGGAAUAUUGCACAAUGGGCGGAAGCCUGAUGCAGCAACGCCGCGUGCGGGAUGACGGCCUUCGGGUUGUGAACCGCUUUCGCCUGUGACGAAGCGUGAGUGACGGUAAUGGGUAAAGAAGCACCGGCUAACUACGUG
rnacentral:rRNA from 1 species